rnacentral:pre_miRNA from 15 species
CCCCGGGAGACAUACUUCUUUAUAUGCCCAUAUGGAGCUCGGAGCUAUGGAAUGUAAAGAAGUAUGUAUCUCAGGC